GAUGAACGCUGGCGGCGUGCCUAAUACAUGCAAGUCGAGCGAACAGACGAGGAGCUUGCUCCUCUGACGUUAGCGGCGGACGGGUGAGUAACACGUGGAUAACCUACCUAUAAGACUGGGAUAACUUCGGGAAACCGGAGCUAAUACCGGAUAAUAUAUUGAACCGCAUGGUUCAAUAGUGAAAGACGGUUUUGCUGUCACUUAUAGAUGGAUCCGCGCCGCAUUAGCUAGUUGGUAAGGUAACGGCUUACCAAGGCAACGAUGCGUAGCCGACCUGAGAGGGUGAUCGGCCACACUGGAACUGAGACACGGUCCAGACUCCUACGGGAGGCAGCAGUAGGGAAUCUUCCGCAAUGGGCGAAAGCCUGACGGAGCAACGCCGCGGGAGUGAUGAAGGUCUUCGGAUCGUAAAACUCUGUUAUUAGGGAAGAACAAAUGUGUAAGUAACGAUGCACGUCUUGACGGUACCUAAGCAGAAAGCCACGGCUAACUACGU
rnacentral:rRNA from 1 species